ACAAACAAAUCAUAAAUAGCAUGUGACGACAACGUAAGAGAGACCCAGACCCAGAGAGACCUAAAACUCUUGUUGGGGGGCAUUGGAUCAGGAACGAAAGGCACAAAGUUACAUGACCUGCGGAAGAGCAAGCAGUGGCAUCAAUGAAACCAAAAUAAGCCAACAAUAAAUUUGUUGUUAAUUGCAGAUGUUCUUGUCACCAGCACCCAUAUCCAACUCAAUAGAUGUUCAUACCCAUACCCAUUCUUGUUGAUGAACAUCAUUUAGAACCCGCAUGAGGAAGAAUAGAGGGAGAAGACGAAGCUCAAUGUUGGGCAGUGGUGGCAAAAUGAGACUGCAAAGCUUAAGGACGAUGAAUGGGUACUUCGUGCAAGGAUGAGUGCAGCUGAGUUAUCUUUGCAGGCUUCAAAUUAGGAUAAUAAAAUGAUCCAAACACAAAAGGGAUCUGCCAACCUCAUUCCCCGGAUAUCACCUUCGUAAUGGAGACGAAGAAUAAGCAGAGAAUAUGGCACGUAGGAAGCUGAGUAGUUGUGGCUUUUUUGAUAUGCUGAUUGUAGACCCGGUUGGCACAGCUGGUGGCUUUUGUUUAGCGUAGAACUCUACUUGUAUUGUGAAUGUAAUGAAAUUUGCGAAUUUUUUUAUUCAUGCGUCUAUUAUGGAUGCCAAGAAUAGAGCUCAAUGAGACUUAAUGUUUGUGCACAUUAAUAGUGAAGAAGAAAUUAUGAAAGAGCAAUUUAAUUUUAUUCUUUCUUAAAA
rnacentral:misc_RNA from 1 species